rnacentral:lncRNA from 1 species
GCACAUGGCUACACUAUGCAUCUCACUUCUCUAUUCGUAGCAUGCUAACAGUACGCUCUCCCAUCAGAGCAGGAACUUUGAGCUGUUCUUAUUCUCCAAAUGGAAUACUGCUGUGUUCCUAGAGCAGAGCCUGGUUUGCAAGUGGGCACAGCUCAACUCAUGAAGAUGGCAGCAGUUUGACUUGAAGGACUUGUCCUGUACAUCAAAGGACAAGAGCAGAAGUCAGUAAGAUCACAUCUUCAGAAAUUUUCAAACACUCUGGUGGCAGAAGAAAGAGUAUCACAGAGGCCUGGGCCCGUUCUGAUGCUGUAAUGAAGGCUUUCUGAAGGAACACAGUCAGGAAUCAACACGCCAUGUUCAAACCCAGUGCUAAAUUUCUGAACUCCCUGAGGCCUCUCAGCUGACCUCCAAUGAACAACUCAGCACAGGUGUGUUUUUGUG